rnacentral:rRNA from 1 species
CCUACGGGUGGCAGCAGUGGGGAAUAUUGGACCAUGGGGGAAACCCUGAUCCAGCGACGCCGCGUGAGUGAAGAAGUAUUUCGGUACGUACAGCUCUAUCAGCAGGAAAGAAAAUGACGGUACCGUACAAAGAAGCCCCGGCUAAAUACGUGCCAGCAGCCGCGGUAAUACGUAGGGGGCAAGCGUUCUCCGGAUUUACUGGGUGUAAAGGGAGCGUAGAUGGCAGAGCAAGGCUGGUGUCAAAUGCCGGGGACAAACCCCGGAACUGCCAUGGAUACUGUGAAGCGUGAGUGCAGGAGAGGUAAGCGGAAUUCCUGGUGUAGCGGGGAAAUGCGUAGAUAUCAGGAGGAACACCGGCGGCGAAGGCGGCUUACUGGACUGUAACUGACGUUGAGGCUCGAAGGCGUGGGGAGCAAACAGGAUUAGAUACCCGGGUAGUC